GGCAAGAGACACAGGAUUAUGACCUGUGAAUCAAAGACAAACGCUCACCAAAAUAAUCAACCCUCCCAGGAGCCUUGUACAGCCCAGGAGGAAGAUGCGGAUCCUUAACUCAGUCUGCAACCAGAAUCUUGACAGUCCUGAAAAUGGAAAAGCGUCUGGAGUUUUGGGUACUCCCAAUGCCCCAAUUAUCCUUUUAUUACCCUGAUUUACAACAUAACUUCAUAGGAGACGUUCUGAUGAGCAAAAUGACUUGGGUAACAAAAUGAUCUGGCAAAACCAGCAACUAAGAAAGAAAAAGAAUGGAUUUUCCAGUCUCUUUGACCCCUGAGAUCUCAAAGCCCCUGUGAAGAUCGAUCAGUUGGCAUGGCUGGAUUCAGACUUCCCAGGCCAAGAGGACUUGAAGAAAUGAUCAGAUGAAUCUCAGAAACUCAGAGUUUGAAUAAUAGUUGUCGGUUAUUGCACACUUGCUGUGUGCCAGGCAUGGUGCUCACUGCUGCCCAUGGAUCAUUUCACCUAAUUUCAUCUACCAGCCUGAUAUCUGCACAUGUGAGAACCUGAGACGUAGGGAGUUUGCACGGCUUUAGCUUUCGCAGAAGGAGUAACACAGGGUCAUACCAACUUACUCCAGUUACCAAUUCUGUGACCUCAGGCAAGGACACAAGAAGAUGGCUGUCUACAAGCCAGGAAAAGAUUCUGCACCAGGAACUGGAUCAACUGGCACCUUGAUCUUGGACUUCCCAGCCUCCAGAACUAUGAGAUGAGAAAUAAGUGUCUAUUGUUUAAGCCUCCCAGUCUAUGGUAUUUUGUUAUAGCAACCCAAGAUGACAAAGACAACAAGCCUAAAAUGAAAAAUGGCAAAGUAACCAAGAUGUCCUUCAAGAGGGAAGGACACAUGGAUGGUGACAUGUGGAAGAAGUUACUUAUCCUAACCAGAUGCCCAACACUGAUGAUGUCAUUGAAAUGGAGGAAGACGGAAGCCCACCAAAUCAGGCUGUUUGUUGUCCAAAAAGCCUUUUUCCCUAAGCUUGAAAGCUUAACUUCUCAGAAGCAGGAAGCUGCCUUUUGCCAAGAGUAAAUGGGUGAGAAGUCCAAAGGUCUUGGUUUUGAAGUAUGUGCAACGAAUGUUCAAACAGGUUCUGAACAGAGCCAAAUCUACUUUUCUAUCUCCAAGAAAUCUCGAGAGAGCCAUGGGGCGGAAGUUUCAAGGAACAACGUCUCGUCCCAAACCGCAUGAAAUUGCAUUCCAAUCAGAAGCAUGGCCAAACCCACCAGAACGCAAAACGCAGGGAUGGAAGGACACUGACGACGAUGACCUUGUGAAAUGAGAGAAUUGUCUUGAAAGGGAGCGUUGUUACGGAAGAUGCUGAUUUCGGCAUUCCCUGUCUGAAGUGCUAACUAACCUCAUUGGGUUUUUGCUCUGCACCAGGUACUGAUAUCUAUACUUUUCCUGUGUAUUCACUUACUUGAUACCUGAUGGAGGAGGUAUUUUUCAGAGGAGAAAACUGAGUCAUGGACAAAGUCAGUGACGUGCCCGAGAUCGUUCAUCUAAGAUGUUGCAGAGCUGGGACUUGAACCUAGUUUGUCUGCCUCUGGGAUCUGAGCUGGUAAACAUCACAUGGCACUUUGUGGCUCGUUUGUGACUGGUCCGUCCAUUGGUGGAAAAUGGUUAGAAGUCCUACUCUGUGCCCCUCUGUGUGCCAGUACUUGGAGAUACUUCCUCCAGAUACUUCCCCAUGAAACUUAAUCUGGUGGUGGAAGACAAACAUAAAACAAAUAAUUGAUUUGAGCUCUGAGAAGUGCCACAAAGGCAACGCACAGGUAUAAUGAUGGGGGAGGGAGGGGUGGCACUUGGUCUGGGAAGUAGGGGAAAACUGUCUCUGUAAGGGACAUUUUAUCUCAGACCGGAAGACUGUUGUUAUGGGUUCAAUUCCAUCCUCUUCUCCCCAGCAUUCAUUUGUCAAAGUCCUAGCCCCUAGACCUCAGAAUGUGACCUUAUUUGGAAAUAGUGUUGUUGCUGAUGUAAUUAGUUAAGAUGAGGUUAGAGUAGAGUAGGAUGGGCCCCUGCUAUAAUAUGACUGGUAUCUUUAUAAAAAGGGGAAAUUUAGAGACAGACACACACACACAGGGAGAAGGACAUGAGAACAGGAGGCAGAGAUGAGGCUGGUAUUUCCACAAGCCAAGGAGUGCCAAAAACUGCCAGCAAAUCACCUUCAAAAGGAGCAUGACAUCUUGAUCUUGGACUUUCACAUUCCAGAACUGUGUUUUUAUCCACUCCCAUUGUGGUACCUUGUCAUGGCAGCCCUAGCAAACGAAUGCAGAGGGGAAGGUGCCAGUCAGGUGAGGAGGGAGUGGAGAGUAGGAGAGAGGGAAAAAGAAACAAAACCCAGGAAGAAGAGCUAGCAUGUGCAAAAUCCCCAACGGAGGAAGGAGCGUGACACAUUUGGGAAGGUGGAACCAGGGAGAGGGGAGGGUGGAAGAUGAAGCAGGUGGAACCAGAUUCUGGCGUCUCUAAUACACAACGUGGCAUUUCUAUGAAGGACGAUGUGAAACCAGUGAAGGGUUUUAACCAAGGGGCAACCAUAAUUGGAUCUGAAUUUUAAUAUCAUUGUUCUGUUGCUGUGUGGAAACUGAAUUUUGGGGGUGGUAGGAAAGAAUAAAUGUAGAACAGUUUAGAACCUAUUGUGUUUGUGCCCAGGAGUUUCAGCCGAAUUCUUCAGAUUGGUUAUUCUUCCAAACAGGCCAUUUUCCUCAAGCCAUUUCCCUACUCAGUACUCAGACACAUUCAUUGUUUACAGUGUACCAGGCUCUGAAACUGUGCUAUCCAAUAUGGUAGCCACUGGCCACGUGUGGCUCAUUUAAAUUAAAAUUAAAGACCAGUUGCUCUGUCUCACUGAGACGUGCCUAUGUGCUCCCUAGCCACAUCAUUCACUGAAAGUUCUGUUAGACAGCUCUGGUCUAGGGAAACACAGAGGAACAGGGCAUCAUCCCGUCCUUGUUUUUAGAGCAGUGAAAGAACUCGAGACAACUGGAUUUCGUAGACCAGCAAGAACUUUUUUUGUUUUUAAGUAUACUUUAAGUUUUA
rnacentral:lncRNA from 1 species